GCUGCCUGAUUGGCCUCCCCGGUGCUAUGCCCCACCCCUUGCUGCUCGUCACCCCGCCCCGCACUCUGAUUGGCCGCCGCCGCGGCCCUCGGCCUUUCCAUUAUGGCGGCGCCCAGCGGAACGGCGAGCUGUGAGGACUUCGCUGAGUUCCAGGAAUUUCUCAGGGUGAUGAGGACAAUUGAUGACAGAAUCGUCCACGAAUUAAACACUACGAUUCCAACAGCUUCCUUUGUGGGGAAAAUUGAUGCCGGCCAGACGUGUAAAGAGCUGUACCAGUCUCUGAUGGAUGCGCACACCAGCAGAGAGAGAAUCAUCAAAAACUGCAUCGCUCAGACUUCCAGUGUAGUGAAAACCCUCAGAGAAGAGAGGGAAAAGGCACAGGAUAAUGUAGCAUUAUUAAAGCAACUAAGGAAAGAGCAGACAAAGUGGCCAGGUGUUUCUGUUGUGUUCAGCAGUUUAGUGAGCCUUCCUCUGAUGAAGGAUGUCUUGACCAGGGCUGCUAGACCAGGGCCUUUGAGUUUCCAGUGUAAUGUUAAAAUUGAUGCAGUCGGAGCUGAAUGUUGAAGAAGUGGUAAACGACAGAAGCUGGAAGGCAUAAAUGGCUCCUUUAGCUGCCUGUAAAAACAUGUCACUGAAGGAAUUAGACCCAGUCGUAGUUGUGGACCGAAUGCAGUUUGUCACAUGGAAGUGGUUGUUGGUUUGCAGGUAUUUAACGAGCGUUGCCGAAUUCACUACAAGCCUCCAAAGAGUCAAUGACGUUGGGUAUUUUCCAUCAAGGUGGUCCAUAACUGUGAGAGCCAAACUGGAAAGAGACCUUGGGUGAGCUCGGGACCCUCCAGAACCAGUAGAACCCAGUCUUGUUUUGUUUUGGACCUACUUAGCGGAAAUGUCAAGAUUGAUAUGAUUCUCCUAUAAUUAAGAGAAAGCAACUCAUCUUUUGUACAAAAUGUGAACAAAUGAGUUUUAUAGUAUUAAAAUGAUUUUCAAGUGGAAUAUGAAACUGGCAUCUUUCUUGAAUUUCUAGAGCUUCAGCAGCUGAGGAGGGGAAAAAACAGUAAAAACCAGUUCUGAGCAGGGAGGACAGGUCUCUCCCUGAGCUGGUGCCAGUCAAACUCUCAGGGAACAUGGUGUGUUUAUGGAAAUAAUCUACAAAAACCCUAAAGGAAAUAACAAUAGUAGGUUCAUCAUCCUUGAAAGGAAGAAGCUACCAGUGUUGUUCUGAAUUUCUCAAGACCAGCAGCAUUGGUUCAGAGCUGCGUGUGGGGGCAGGUUUGCCAUUGUUCCCACAAUGCUGACAGGCAGCAUCUGUUGCAUUCUGUCCUUUUUUUCCUUUUUACCAAGUUCUGGGUUUUUCUUUGAAAUAGGGAAUGUGGUGUUGAUUAAAACAACUUUUGCUUAGUGAUGAAGAUAAUCUCAUUCAGGAAUGAGACAGUUACCUAUCCAGUGAUCCUAUAUUGUCCCUUUUCAGAACCUCUGCAAUUAAUUCAAUCGGUGAACUGCAUUUGAACUGAGAAAAGAGCUGUGUUCACCUGAUCUUGUUGAUUGUAGCCACAUAGUGUUGUAUUUAGAAAGCUUUACAUGCAACAUCUCUGAUAUGACAUUGUGUUUAAAACCAGCCUUUGAGGACAUGAAUCUAAUGUUCAAGCUUCAUUUUUCUCCAAGUUCUGCUCCAAGCAGAACUUAACUCCAGUUGAAGCGCUCCUCUCAUUCAUGAAGUAUUCUCCUUGUUUUUCUGCAACUCUUAAAGCAGAAAACAGUUUUGUUCUUGAGCUGUUAAAUGCUUAAGAUUGUUUAUUCUCAAUGUGGGCAUCAAAUACUGCUCAGAACAGUGGGCUUAACUGUCAGUAACAUAAUUUCCACAGGAGAUGGUCCUCUACUGAGAUGUUGGGAACUGUUAGUUGUGAUUUCAAAGCUGGAACUCUAACACUGACCUCUAAUAUAGGUGCCUAAACUAUUUGUUCUCUCCAGGGCCUGGAUCUACAACUGCGAGGACAAAGUGUCCUUGAAAGCCAGUUGUAUAAUAGAAACUUCUGCCAUUGGGCAUAGAGUGGGCAUCAAUGCUCUUGAAAUUUAAGCUUGCCUUGUAUUUCUGUAGAAACUAAGGAUUGUAGUGAGAGGUAAUGCCUCUGCUCCUCAGUCCAUCCAGGUGUUUGCUCAGCUGCUGUGGGAAAGCUUCUUCACUUAAGCAGAGGCUGUGAAGAAUGACUUGGGAAACAGAGGCGAUAAAUAUCCAGGUUUCUUUUUCUUUCAGUAGCCCAGCUUAGCAUUUGUUGUGAGAAAACUGUGUAAAAGAAGCCCAACAUAUCACUAUUUCUCAUUUGAACGUAAGGCCAAAGAAUUAGACCUGUACCAAUAUGUCUAUGAAAAACUCCUGAUGCCGUAAGAAAGAAGACUUGUAAGUCCCAAACAUCCCUCCUCCAGGUGUUUCCAGCUUGUCUGCAGGGGGUUGCACUAAGCAGAUGAAUUACUCUGUUUAGUUUGCUCUGGGGACAGAGGGAUGUCUCUGGCAGUGUGUGGCAAACCACAUGAACCGGAGGCAGUUUGAAUCUUGCUGUAGAACUUAGUGGAACAUGAAGGUGAGUAAGUGGAAUUGCAUGCCAUGCUUUGGGGAAUGGGGAAGGAGCAAAAGGCUUUGCUAUUUUUUGAGUACCGAAGAUCUGCCUGUGAAGUGGGAUGUUUGGUGAUGGUAUGUAAAUGGCAUUGGUGUGAGCUGUGGACCAUACUAAAGAAAGGCAGGUCAAGUCUCUGUGUGUGCUGACCCCUGCCCAUCAGAGGAUCAUGUCUGUUCUGCGAUUGAAUUCUGUUUCAACUUUCCCAUCAAGGUAUUCAGCAAAUGACUGGGCUGCUUGGUUUCAUAUGUGAAUCAAAUAAUGGACCUCGCAAAUACCAGGUUUUCAUCGUUUUCCUGAUUCUAACUUUAUUU